rnacentral:rRNA from 1 species
UACGUAGGGUGCGAGCGUUAAUCGGAAUACUGGGCGUAAAGCGUGCGCAGGCGGUUCGUUAAGUUCGUUGUGAAAGCCCCGGGCUCAACCUGGGAACUGCAAUGGAAACUGGCGGGCUUGAGUGCGGCAGAGGGGGUGGAAGUCCUGGUGUAGCGGUGAAAUGCGCAGAUAUCAGGAGGAACACCGAUGGCGAAGGCAGCUCGCUGGGACGUGACUGACGCUGAGACGCGAAAGCGUGGGGAGCAAACAGG